GACGAACGCUGGCGGCGUGCUUAACACAUGCAAGUCGAACGGAAAGGCCCUGCUUUUGUGGGGUGCUCGAGUGGCGAACGGGUGCGGAACACGUGAGUAACCUGCCCUUGACUUUGGGAUAACUUCAGGAAACUGGGGCUAAUACCGGAUAGGAGCUCAUGCUGCAUGGUGGGGGUUGGAAAUUUUCGGCGGUUGGGGAUGGACUCGCGGCUUAUCAGCUUGUUGGUGGGGGAGUGGCUUACCAAGGCUUUGACGGAUAGCCGGCCUGAGAGGGUGACCGGCCACAUUGGGACUGAGAUACGGCCCAGACUCCUACGGGAGGCAGCAGUGGGGAAUAUGGCACAAUGGGCGGAAGCCUGAUGCAGCAACGUCGCGUGCGGGAUGACGGCCUUCGGGGUGUAAACCGCUUUCGCCUGUGACGAAGCGGGAGUGACGGUAAUGGGUAAAGAAGCACCGGCUAACUACGUG
rnacentral:rRNA from 1 species